AAAGUCAGAGAGGUGAGAUUGCGUUGGUUUGGACAUGUGCAGAGGAAAGAUGCUGGGUAUAUUGGGAGAAGGAUGCUAAGGAUAGAGCUGCCAGGGAAGAGGAAAAGAGGAAGGCCUAAGCGAAGGUUUAUGGAUGUGGUGAGAGAGGACAUGCAGGUGAUGGGUGUAACAGAACAAGAUUCAGAGGACAGAAAGAUAUGGAAGAAGAUGAUCCGCUGUGGCAACCCCUAACGGGAGCAGCCGAAAGAAGAAGAAGAAGAAGAAUU